UACGUAGGGUGCAAGCGUUGUCCGGAAUUAUUGGGCGUAAAGAGCUCGUAGGCGGUUCGUCGCGUCGGCUGUGAAAACCCGAGGCUCAACCUCGGGCCUGCAGUCGAUACGGGCGGACUGAGUUCGGCAGGGGAGACUGGAAUUCCUGGUGUAGCGGUGAAAUGCGCAGAUAUCAGGAGGAACACCGGUGGCGAAGGCGGAUCUCUGGGCCAUUACUGACGCUGAGGAGCGAAAGCGUGGGGAGCGAACAGG
rnacentral:rRNA from 1 species